ensembl:lncRNA
AUCUUAUGGCAGGCAGCAAUGUAGUGUGCUGCCAACCCACAGCUCUCUGCGUCCUCCCCCAACAGGACGGGUAGCCUAUUCUCAUCAGAGAGGUCUCUCUGCGUCCUCCCCCAACAGGACGGGUAGCCUACUCUCAUCAGAGAGGUCUCUCUGCGUCCUCCCCCAACAGGACGGGUAGCCUACUCUCAUCAGAGAGGUCUUUGAAAUGUUGAAGAAGUGUUUCACAUUUGGGGAAAUGACAUUCUCUAAUUGUUUUAUAUUUUUUACAUUUUUGUCAGGAAAUGCAGCUCUGUCUCAGGUUCUGCUGUUGUGCAGUGGUUGCACAGCCUUUCCUCUACAUGGAGCCAGGUUUUCCUGUGUCUACCCUUCUCAAUGGCAAGGCUGUGCUCACUGAGCCUGUACUUUGUCAAGGUUUUUCUAAGGUUUUGAUCAGUAACCAUGGUCACGGUGUGCUGUCGAUUUAGGGCCAGAUAACACUGCAUUUUGCUUUGUGUUUGCUUAUUGGGAAACACAAGCACAAUGUAGUUUUGUUUUGACUGUGUUGUAAUUUGGUUUAUUCUGAUUGAUUGGAUGUUCUGGUCCUGAGGCUUCAGUGUGUUAGCAGAACAAGUUUGUGAACUCAGCCCCAGGACCAGCUGGAUGUGGGGACUCUUUUCUUUGCUCAGCUCUUGGUAUUGCAGGGCUUGGUAAUGAUAUGAGAGGGGGUCACUGUAUUUUAGAUGUUUCCAAAACAUAAUUGCUCUUUUUUGAGUUUUUAUUAUUGAUGGAUAUUGGCCUAAUUCUGCCCUGCAUGCAUUGUUUGUAGUUUUCCUCUGGACAUGUAGGAGAGUCUUACAGAACUCUGCAUGCAGGAUUUCAAUGGGGUGUUUGUCCCAUUUGGUGAAAUCUUGUUUUGCAAGUGGACCCCACACCUCGCUGCCAUAAAGUGCAAUUGGUUCAAUGACACAUUCCAUUAGUUUUAGCCAAAUUUUAGGUAUUUCAUUUUGAAUUUGUUUUUAAUGGCGUAGAAUGCCCUGCGUGCUUUCUCUCUCAGUUCAUUCACUGCCUCAUUAAGGUGUCCAGUUGAGCUUAUUUUUAAACCUAAGUAAUUGUAGUGUGUGCAGUACUCUAUAUAUUUUGUACCAAUUGAGAACUUUGGUCUAAUUCCCUGAGAUCUGGAUCUUCUCUGGAAAAUCAUUAUUUUAGUAUUUUUGGGCCCAGGUCUGGCACUACUGCUCUAGCAGGUCCAGGCUCUGCUGUAGGCCAUGUACUGUGGGUGACAGCAGGCAUAGGUCAUCUGCGAAGAGUAGGCAUUUAACCUCUGAAUUGUGGAGACUAACACCAGAGGAUUUUUCUAGAAUAGUGGCCAAUUUGUUGAUGUAAAUAUUGAAGAGUGCAGGGCUCAGCUUGCAACCCUGCCGAAGGCCUCGUCCCUGGUUAAAGAAUUCUGUUCUUUUCUUGCCAAUUUUAAUGCUGCACUUAUUGCCAGUAUACAUUGAUUUAAUUAUGUCAUAUGUUUUACCCCCUACACCACUUUCAAUAACUUUGUAGAACAGUCCUAUAUGCCAAAUAGAAUCAAAUGCUUUUUGGAAAUCGAUAAAGCAAGCGUAUAUUUUGGUAUUAUUUUGGUGGACAUGUUUAUCUUUCAGGGUGUGUACGGUGUAAAUAUGAUCAGUCGUGCAAUGUUUUGGUAUAAAUCCAAUUAGCCUUUUACUCAAGACACUGUGCAUAUUAAGGAAGUUUAGAACUCUUACAUUUCUAAUACUACAGAAAACCUUCCCCAGGUUACUGUUCACACAAAUGCCUCUGUAAUUGUUAGGGUCAAUUUUGUCUCCGUUCUUAAAGAUUGGGGUUAUGAGUCCUUGAUUCUUGAUGUCAGGGAAAUAACCUACACUCAGGAUCAAAUUAAACAGUUGUAAUAUAGCCAACUGACAUUUUGCACUAGCGAGUUUGAGCAUCUAAUUUAGGAUGCCAUCAGGUCCGCAAUCUUUUUAAAAUUUGAGAGCCUGAAGUUUCUUAAAGAGCUCCUGGUCAGUAAUUGGGGAGUCCAAUGAAUUUGGCGUUGUUCUGCGUUUGUGUCAAUUUGAACGGUGUUGUAGAGUGUUUUAAAAUGGAUUGUCCAUAUGUCACCAUUUUGUAUUGCUAAUUCCUAGUUUUGAUUUUAUUUUUAAAUUUGUAAAAUUUUGCAAGAAGUUGUUUGUGUUUAUGGACUCCUCAAUUAGUGUCAGCAGCUUGCUGUGGUACUGUUUUUGGUUCUGAGUGUACGUUUACAGAGUUUUAAAGUCUCACAGUAAUGACUUCCAUCAUCAUUUGUCACGUUCUGACCAUCGUUCGUAUGUGUUUUCCUUGCUUUAGUGUUGGUCAGGACGUGAGCUGGGUGGGCAUUCUAUGUUUCAUGUCUAGUUUGUCUAUUUCUAUGUCUGGCCUGAUAUGGUUCUCAAUCAGAGGCAGGUGUUAGUCAUUGUCUCUGAUUGGGAACCAUAUUUAGGUAGGCU